rnacentral:rRNA from 1 species
AGGCAUCUAAGCGUGAAGCCCCCCUCAAGAUGAGAUAUCCCAUUCGUUAAGAAGUAAGACCCCUUGAAGACGACGAGGUAGAUAGGGCAGAGGUGGAAGUGCAGUAAUGCAUGGAGCUGACUGUUACUAAUCGGUCGAGGGCUUAUCCAG